GGAAGGGUGGCAGAGUGGUCGAAUGCACCGGUCUGGAGAACCGGUAGGGGAGAAAUCCCCUCCAGGGUUCGAAUCCCUGCCCUUCCG
rnacentral:tRNA from 1 species